rnacentral:rRNA from 1 species
UCGGAAUUACUGGGCGUAAAGCGCGUGUAGGCGGCCCUUCAAGUCGGGCGUGAAAUCCCACGGCUCAACCGUGGAAGUGCACUCGAAACUGCUUGGCUAGAGUCUUGGAGAGGAAGGCGGAAUGCUUGGUGUAGAGGUGAAAUUCGUAGAUAUCAAGCGGAACACCGGUGGCGAAGGCGGCCUUCUGGACAAUGACUGACGCUAAAACACGAAAGCGUGGGGAGCAAACAGG